AUUGAACGCUGGCGGCAGGCCUAACACAUGCAAGUCGAACGGUAACAGGAAGAAGCUUGCUUCUUUGCUGACGAGUGGCGGACGGGUGAGUAAUGUCUGGGCAACUUCGUGAUGGAGGGGGAUAACUACUGGAAACGGUAGCUAAUACCGCAUAACGGCGCAAGACCAAAGAGGGUGACCUUCGGGCCUCUUGCCAUCGGCUGUGCCCAGAUGGGAUUAGCUAGUAGGUGGGGUAACGGCUCACCUAGGCGACGAUCCCUAACUGGUCUGAGAGGAUGACCAGCCACACUGGAACUGAGACACGGUCCAGACUCCUACGGGAGGCAGCAGUGGGGAAUAUUGCACAAUGGGCGAAAGCCUGAUCCAGCCAUGCCGCGUGUAUGAAGAAGGCCUUCGGGUUGUAAAGUACUUUCAGCGGGGAGGAAGGGAGUAAAGUUAAUACCUUUACUCAUUGACGUUACCCGCAGAAGAAGCACCGGCUAACUCCGUG
rnacentral:rRNA from 1 species